GCGGACGGCCACCCACCACGAGCCGGGUUCUGUUCCACGCGCUUGCCCGUGGGGGAAUGUCGGGUCUCUGUAAAUACAACUAUCUGGACCCGCUCCACAUGAAAAGCGCCCCGAGAUGACCUCCGUUAUGAUUCGGCGCUACAUAAAUAAAAUGGAACCCCUAUCAGAGAGCCAAGUCAGCUGGUGAGGAUGAACAGUUAAAUCACGGUUGAAGAACAAGGCCCUGAAUGGAACCUUUUAUUUUCAGAGUGUGUGACAGACCUCACCCUCACCUGUUGAUACCAGCUCUGCCCAAAAGCGUCCACGCCCCCUUUGAGGACUCCGGCACACAGCAUCCGGCCUGUGACCUCGUCACUCAUCAGGCUCUUGCACACCGUGCUGUUGAUGAUCCGAACC